UCUUUCUUUUCUUUCUUUUCUUUCUUUUCUUUCUUUUCUUUCUUUUUCUUUCCUUCUUUCUUUUCCAGGAAACCUUCUUGGCUUCAUUAAGGUAUUUUUCAAGGUUUUCAGUCUUUGAAGCAGAAAGUUUUCAUUGUCAUCCUGAAACCUUCCAAGCAUGGUAUGCUCAUCUGAGCAAUACUGAUAGAGGAGUGAGGUGUUUUUGGAGCCUGUUAUUAAUAGAAAUGUACCAACAAGACAGUGCAGUCUAGGUUUAAACAAGGGCUGUUUUUCUCCUGGAGGUUGAUCUUUUUAAACAGAGAUGUGGUUUAACUCCAGUCAACUAUCAAGCAAUACUCAGCUGCUCACUCAUGCCCCCACCUGCUGGAUCACGGAGAUAAUUGUAAAGGUGAUACAGGAACACCUAGCAAUGAUCAUCCCCACAACGACCCGAGAUUGGGAUCACUGGAACCCUCCUGGCUGAUCCAUCUGAAUGCUGUGUUCCAGUAACUACAUCAGAGAGAUUCAUCACCACCCGGACACCGAAUUGUUCAAACUCAAC